rnacentral:rRNA from 1 species
GAUGAACGCUGGCGGCGUGCCUAAUACAUGCAAGUCGAGCGAACGGACGAGAAGCUUGCUUCUCUGAUGUUAGCGGCGGACGGGUGAGUAACACGUGGAUAACCUACCUAUAAGACUGGGAUAACUUCGGGAAACCGGAGCUAAUACCGGAUAAUAUUUUGAACCGCAUGGUUCAAAAGUGAAAGACGGUCUUGCUGGCACUUAUAGAUGGUUCCGCGCUGCAUUAGCUAGUUGGUAAGGUAACGGCUUACCAAGGCAACGAUGCAUAGCCGACCUGAGAGGGUGAUCGGCCACACUGGAACUGAGACACGGUCCAGACUCCUACGGGAGGCAGCAGUAGGGAAUCUUCCGCAAUGGGCGGAAGCCUGACGGAGCAACGCCGCGUGAGUGAUGAAGGUCUUCGGAUCGUAAAACUCUGUUAUUAGGGAAGAACAUAUGUGUAAGUAACUGUGCACAUCUUGACGGUACCUAAUCAGAAAGCCACGGCUAACUACGUG